rnacentral:lncRNA from 1 species
GAAGCAUGGGAAAUUCUAGAGAAAUAGUUUGGAGGAGCUAAGAAGGUGAAAGAGGUGAGAUUACAAACUCACAAAAGAACGUAUGAAUUGCUUCAGAUGGAAGAAAUGGAAAGCAUAACUUAUUUUUUUCACUAGGGUUAUAAACUUUGAGAAUCAAAUCAAGAUAUGUGGAGAAGCGUUGACAUCUAGAUCGAUGUCGCAAAGAUCUUGAGCUCAUUGACUUCAAAGUUCGACAAUU